GAAUUCACAAGGCAAGGGACACUGUUAGGAGUACUGCAUGAAAUAGAUCGACAUAGUAGUUCAAAGCUCUAGUGUCUCGUUAGAGAGCUAGCAAUCGGUUCCGAUCCUUCUCAUACUUAAAUCAGUGGAGUUUUGAAAGUAUAUCCAAGUGGGAAAAGGCUCAGACUCAAAAUCCCAUGUGAUCCCUCCAGAACUGCCUGGCUUCUCAACUGGAGUAUACAAUUAUGGCUUCAUACUGAGUUUUUACCAUUUCUGUCAGGGCCUGAUCCAAAUCCCAUAGGAGUCAAUGCAAAGGCUAUCAUGGUAUCAUUGAGUUUCAGAUCAGGGAGAACGUAAUCGCUUAUACCUUGGAUAUCAGUAUGGAUUUUAACAGACCAUACAUCAUUUCUCACUUAUGCUAAGGAGCUGAUUCAAACCCGAAGCUGAAAUGGCACUCUCUGAUUCAUGUACAGCACAAACAGCUCCAGUCACUAUAAGAUUAUGUUAAUAUGAAUAACAACGACAAUCAUGAUAUUAAAGCGAAAAGCAAAAGUGUGA